rnacentral:rRNA from 1 species
GACGAACGCUGGCGGCGUGCUUAACACAUGCAAGUCGAACGGUGAAGCAGGAGUUUGCUCUUGUGGAUCAGUGGCGAACGGGUGAGUAACACGUGAGCAACCUGCCCCUGACUCUGGGAUAAGCGCUGGAAACGGCGUCUAAUACUGGAUAUGUGAUGUGACCGCAUGGUCUGCAUCUGGAAAGAAUUUCGGUUGGGGAUGGGCUCGCGGCCUAUCAGCUUGUUGGUGAGGUAAUGGCUCACCAAGGCGUCGACGGGUAGCCGGCCUGAGAGGGUGACCGGCCACACUGGGACUGAGACACGGCCCAGACUCCUACGGGAGGCAGCAGUGGGGAAUAUUGCACAAUGGGCGGAAGCCUGAUGCAGCAACGCCGCGUGAGGGAUGACGGCCUUCGGGUUGUAAACCUCUUUUAGCAGGGAAGAAGCGAAAGUGACGGUACCUGCAGAAAAAGCACCGGCUAACUACGUGCCAGCCGCCGCUGUAA